UUUCCGUAGGUGAACCAGCGGAAGGAUCAUUAUUGAAUGAAACACUUCUGGCUUUAUGCUGUUGUGCUGGCCCUUUGGGCAAUGUGCACACGGCUCUGGUCACUUGUUUCUUCUGUUCCACCUGUGCACUGCCUGUAGACACGCUGUGUCUAUGAUAUUUGUUAACACACAACAAUGUUAGUUGGCAUGUUAUAUAUAAUAAUAAAAUAUACAACUUUCAACAACGGAUCUCUUGGCUCUCACAUCGAUGAAGAACGCAGC
rnacentral:misc_RNA from 1 species